rnacentral:rRNA from 1 species
UACGGAGGAUCCAAGCGUUAUCCGGAAUUACUGGGCGUAAAGAGUUGCGUAGGCGGCAUUGUAAGCAGAUAGUGAAAGCGUGUGGCUCAACCAUACUCACAUUAUUUGAACUGCAAAGCUAGAGGACAAGAGAGGUCACUGGAAUUCCCUGUGUAGGAGUGAAAUCCGUAGAUAUAGGGAGGAACACCGAUGGCGUAGGCAGGUGACUGGCUUGUUCCUGACGCUCAGGCACGAAAGCGUGGGUAGCAAACGGG